UACAGAGGGUGCAAGCGUUAAUCGGAAUUACUGGGCGUAAAGCGUGCGCAGGCGGUUCGUUGUGUCUGAUGUGAAAGCCCCGGGCUCAACCUGGGAAUGGCAUUGGAAACUGGCGAGCUAGAGUGUGGCAGAGGGGGGUGGAAUUCCGCGUGUAGCAGUGAAAUGCGUAGAGAUGCGGAGGAACACCGAUGGCGAAGGCAGCCCCCUGGGCUGACACUGACGCUCAGGCACGAAAGCGUGGGGAGCAAACAGG
rnacentral:rRNA from 1 species